UAGGAUAAGGGUGUUACCAAAAAUAUUCCAGUGAUACACUGCUCGAAUUACUUUCCCUUUCUUAAGCUAAUCGUUAUCAAAGUCAAACCUUAUUCGCUCUGUUAUAAAGUUGUCCAUUGAGCGUUCAAAGUCGUCUAACGAGAUAAUUACCAUUUCGUUAUAAAUAAAAUUCAUAACAUGUUUGACAUAUUUUCUCUAAAAAACCUUGGAUUUUAAUAUUUAGCUGUGCAUACUAAAACAUUAGUUCCAUAAGAGUUCCAUAAAACAUAAGUUCCAUAAGUUUCCAAAAAAUCCAUAUUAAUCGUUGCGAAAAAUAAAUAUGAGUCAAAAUAUAAAAACCGUGCUGUGUGCCUCAGUGUUAUGAUGGGCCUUCAAGACGGUAAUUACGGUAUAAUUAUGGCUUAAAACCUCGCAAAAAUGGUAUGUUAGUGUUUAAAUGAAAUACAUUUUAUUACUUUAUUAUUUCGUCUUCUAUACAUACAGGUGAUGCCGCUGUUCUAAACUUGAAGCAUUGUAGACGCUAUGAUCACGUGAGAAAACCACACACGAAAAGUUUUCGCAUAAGACACGGCAAAAAUCUAAAGCAUUGAUGAUGCUAGGGAUCACCAGCUCUCCAGAUCCAGUAAGAAAACCACACACGAAAAAUUUUCGCAUAAGAGACAAGUAAGGUUGUCUGAUCCUAAUUACUCUUCUGUUAAUAUAAAACUAUUAUCAGUAUUUUUUUAAUUUUUACCAGUUUGAUUUUGGUUGAUUUCUAUUUUGAGAUAAGCAUAUUUUCUUGGAUUGAAGGAAAGCAACAAAAGUAAAAUGAAAGUAAUGUAUCAAUGCAAAUUGCUAUACCUAACUGUAUUUCUACACAA